rnacentral:sRNA from 1 species
AUUAGGCAGAUGCACAGCUGGAGGUGGGAUCCACACAGCUCAGAACAGCUGGAUCUUGCUCACACUCUUUCAAGGGAAGCUUCCUUG